UACGUAGGGGGCAAGCGUUGUCCGGAAUCAUUGGGCGUAAAGAGCGCGUAGGCGGUCCGGUAAGUCCGCUGUGAAAGUCAAGGGCUCAACCCUUGAAUGCCGGUGGAUACUGUCGGGCUAGAGUCCGGAAGAGGCGAGUGGAAUUCCUGGUGUAGCGGUGAAAUGCGCAGAUAUCAGGAGGAACACCGGUGGCGAAGGCGGAUCUCUGGGCCUGUUCUGACGCUGAGGCGCGAAAGCUAGGGGAGCGAACAGG
rnacentral:rRNA from 1 species